AACACAUGCAAGUCGAGGGGUAACAAGAGAAAAGCUUGCUUUUCUUGUCGACGACCGGCGCACGGGUGAGUAACGCGUAUCCAACCUGCCUAUAACUAGGGAAUAACCUUGCGAAAGUAAGACUAAUACCCUAUGAUUUCCUUUGAUGACAUCAGAUUAGGAAUAAAGAUUUAUCGGUUAUAGAUGGGGAUGCGUCUGAUUAGCUUGUUGGCGGGGUAACGGCCCACCAAGGCAACGAUCAGUAGGGGUUCUGAGAGGAAGGUCCCCCACAUUGGAACUGAGACACGGUCCAAACUCCUACGGGAGGCAGCAGUGAGGAAUAUUGGUCAAUGGGCGAAAGCCUGAACCAGCCAAGUAGCGUGCAGGAUGACGGCCCUAUGGGUUGUAAACUGCUUUUAUACAGGAAUAAAGUUAGCCACGUGUGGUUAUUUGUAGGUACUGUAUGAAUAAGGACCGGCUAAUUCCGUGCCAGCAGCCGCGGUAAUACGGAAGGUCCAGGCAUUAUCCGGAUUUAUUGGGUUUAAAGGGAGCGUAGGCCGUCUGUUAAGCGUGUUGUGAAAUGUAGAUGCUCAACAUCUGAAUUGCAGCGCGAACUGGCAGACUUGAGUGUGCGCAACGUAGACGGAAUUCGUGGUGUAGCGGUGAAAUGCUUAGAUAU
rnacentral:rRNA from 1 species